UGGCGGCAGUAGCGCGGUGGUCCCACCUGACCCCAUGCCGAACUCAGAAGUGAAACGCCGUAGCGCCGAUGGUAGUGUGGGGUCUCCCCAUGCGAGAGUAGGGAACUGCCAGACA
rnacentral:rRNA from 342 species